rnacentral:rRNA from 1 species
UACGUAGGGUGCAAGCGUUAAUCGGAAUUACUGGGCGUAAAGCGUGCGCAGGCGGUUGUGUAAGACAGAUGUGAAAUCCCCGGGCUCAACCUGGGAACUGCAUUUGUGACUGCACAGCUGGAGUGCGGCAGAGGGGGAUGGAAUCCGCGUGUAGCAGUGAAAUGCGUAGAUAUGCGGAGGAACACCGAUGGCGAAGGCAAUCCCCUGGGCCUGCACUGACGCUCAUGCACGAAAGCGUGGGGAGCAAACAGG